rnacentral:rRNA from 1 species
GCGAGCACACUGUCCGUACCGAGAUCCGACACAGGUACUCAUGGCGGCGAAAGCCAAGGUCUGUCGGGAUCAACCGACGUUAGGGAAUUCGGCAAGUUAGUCCCGUACGUUCGCAAUAAGGGAUGCCUGCCUCGCGAAGAGGCAGGUCGCAGUGACUCGGGCGCUCCGACUGUCUAGUAACAACAUAGGUGACCGCAAAUCCGCAAGGACUCGUACGGUCACUGAAUCCUGCCCAGUGCAGGUAUCUGAACACCCCGUACAAGGGGACGAAGGACCUGUUAACGGCGGGGGUAACUAUGACCCUCUUAAGGUAGCGUAGUACCUUGCCGCUUCAGUAGCGGCUUGCAUGAAUGGAUCAACGAGAGCGCCACUGUCCCAACGUUGGGCCCGGUGAACUGUACGUUCCAGUGCGGAGUCUGGAGACCCCCAAGGGGAAGCGAAGACCCUAUAGAGCUUUACUGCAGGCUGUCACUGAGACGUGGUCGCCAUUGUGCAGCAUAGGUAGGAGGCGGUACACAGGUACCCGCGCUAGCGGGCCACCGAGCCA